rnacentral:rRNA from 1 species
AGAGAAUAGAUACCCCGGUAGUCCACGCCGUAAACGAUGAACACUGGGUGUGGGUGGAGUGAAAUCCAUCUGUGCCGAAAGCCAACGCGCUAAGUGUUCCGCCUGGGGAGUACGGCCGCAAGGCUAAAACUCAAAGGAAUUGACGGGGGCCUGCACAAGCAGCGGAGCGUGUGGUUUAAUUCGAUGCGACGCGAAGAACCUUACCCAGGAUUGACAUCCACGUAGUAGUGAAGCGAAAGCGGAACGACCCUUCGGGGAGCGUGGACAGGUGCUGCAUGGCUGUCGUCAGCUCGUGUCGUGAGAUGUUGGGUUAAGUCCCGCAACGAGCGCAACCCUUGUCGCUAGUUACAAGUGUCUAGCGAGACUGCCGAUAUCAAGUUGGAGGAAGGUGGGGAUGACGUCAAGUCAGCAUGGCCUUUAUAUCUGGGGCGACACACACGCUACAAUGGGCGGUACAAUGGGCAGCGAAAGGGCGACCUGGAGCGAAUCCUAUCAAAGCCGUUCGUAGUUCGGAUUGCAGG